rnacentral:RNase_P_RNA from 1 species
CGAGUCAGCCGGGCAAUUGCUGUUUGAAGCUCUUUACUUAUCGGUUUUCGAUAGGCGAGGAAUCAGAUAGAGGAAAGUCCGGGCUCCAUAGAGCAGGGUGCCAGGUAACGCCUGGGGGGCGCAAGCCUACGGCUAGUGCAACAGAAAGCAAACCGCCCGGUUACUUCGGUAAUCAGGUAAGGGUGAAAAGGUGCGGUAAGAGCGCACCGCGCGACUGGUAACAGUUCGUGGCUAGGUAAACCCCACCCGGAGCAAGGCCAAAUAGGAAUCCGUUAAUGCUGCUCGCAUUGGAUUCGGGUAGGCCGCUACAAACCUGUGGUGACGCAGGUUGCAGAUGAAUGAUUGUCCUCGACAGAACCCGGCUUACAGGCUGGCUCACUUU